ACCUUCGUGGUGUAAUGGUCAGCACACUCGGCGCGUAUCGAGAGUUCCGAGGUUCGAGUCCUGGCGAGGGCA
rfam:Stegodyphus mimosarum contig66091, whole genome shotgun sequence.